CCAGCCAUCCAUCCAAAUCAAUUAUUAUCAAAUCCAAGAAAUACCCCAAUACUAAUAUCCAAACCAUUAAAGCAAAUCAAUUAACAAUAGCCAAGGAUUGUUGCACUCUCAAUAAACUCUAGUUUUAGAACAUAUGCUACUCGAAGAAGUUCAAUCAUGCUAAUCCAAGUGGAAAAAAAAGAAGAAAGAGAGGCAGAAUUGAUGUCUAGAAAGAAUACCCUGCUUUCCACAAUGAAUAUUCAGUGAUCAUGUUAUGUUCUCUUGCCACACAAGAUCAAUAUGAAAAUGUAUUCAAAGCAAUCAAGUAUGGGGGCUGUAAAAGAGGUUAUAUUGGAAGCAAGUGUUGUGUUCCAAAAUCCAAAUCCAAAUCUUCUUGGCCAACCUUGAAAUUCUCCUCUAAUGCCUAACCUAGCGCUUUGCCUUUUUCCGUGACAUCUACAACAAGAAUAUAAUAAAAUUCAAGCAUUGGUUUAAACAAAAUACAAGCCAAAGAUGAUAAACACUACUUACACAGGGUGAUAGGGUAUGACAUACACUCACAUAAUGAAACGAAUUGUGACUACUAAUGACUUGGAUUCCUAAAUAUAGAAGACAUAAUAGAACUUGACAUAGAGGAACUGGUGUGAUAUGAGAUCUAUUUAGAUAAAUUAUCAGCAUGGCUUAAAUGUUAGACUUGUUCAUAUAUGUGUCAAAUAAGACUUGAUAUUAUUCAAGGUUUGGUAUAGAACUCUAACCUCAUUAAAAUGGGAGACAGAACGUGAAGAGUAUAAUUUCCACAGCUCUGUUGAUCUUGAUCCACGUUCAUCUGCAUGGCUGACUUCACAAGAGACUCGUUACUAUAAUCAGGGAUGGAUCUAGAAUUUUUUUUUACUCUGUGGGGACACAAAAUAACUAUAAAUAUAAAAUAUGUUAAAAGAAAUCACUUCAUCCAUGUACGAAAAAAAUGGAACCCUUACUCCAUUUACAACUUCACCUCACUUUUUAUUAAAACCCGCGUCAUCCAUAAUGUGACAAUUUUCUUGUGUACGAGUGAGUACGUAUUAUUGUACUCCAUUUUUAUGCUACUGUGAGAGAUCUCCCCAUUUACAAUCCUAAAUUUACUGCUGUAUGCAAUUUGUUUAAUAUAAAAAAUAAAAAGUACUGCUACUGUGUAACAUGAGUCAUAUUCCUUUUUAGGUUGUUGCACGAAAUUUGUUACGUUUUCUUAUAUGGCAAAAAAAUCUUUAUUCAAGUUUUCAUCUACGACACUAAACACACAAAAUAAUAAACGAUUCAUAUAAACGAAACAUUAUUAACACAAUCAAAUUGAUCAUUUAUCCUCUUAGUCCUACUAUAACAUCAUUGCCUUAGGGACUUCCAUAUUCAACUUUUGAAUAUGGAAGAAUAAUCACAAACCUUUCAGCAGAUUGUAGCUCUUGAAUUGAUGGUCGCUAGUAUUUGCUAAUCAAACUGAUGCUGAGAAAGAAAAAAUUGCAAAAAUUAAUCAGGGGAGCAUUUGGAUUGCAAAAUAAUCACACUAAUCAUAUCAAAAGCUCCUAUAGAAGAUUUACUAAUGCUCAUAGAGUCAUAGUCAUAGAUAGCCAGGUAAGUUUAUUUGUUGAACCAAGAAAUCAAAUGUAUUAGUAGAUGAUAUCAUUAACACACGCUGAGUGUAUUUGACAACAUAAAACAAUAUACAUUGAUUAAUAUUCGUGGAAUUAAAAACUACAGCAUCUUUUGGAAGGGAGAAUUCAAAACCUCCUUUCCAGCAUUGUCAUUUAUGCAUGUCAACUAUUUUGUAAUUAUGAACAGAGAAUUGAGCAAAAACAAUUAUUUUAACAAAUUUAGGAAUCCACCACUAGCCACUCCACCAAAGGCAUCUAAUAUAACUUUUAAAUUGACAAAGAAGAUCCAGGGUAAAAGGGGCUGAUAUAGUUGUACCAAAAGUUACUUCUAACUUCUAAGGCAUGUGCCAAAUAAGAUUUGAAAUUAUUCAAGGAUGGUAGAAAUCUAACCUCGUGAUCGGCAAGAACUCGUAGAUUAUAAUUUCCGUAACUCUCUUUUAUUUUCUUGGCUAACUCUACAAGAGAAUCAUCCAAGGAUAAAAAAUAAUGGGAGACACGAACAUGAAGAGUAUCAUUUCCAUAGCUCUGUUGAUCCUCAUUUAUCUGCUUGACUGACUUCUCAAGACACUCGUUACAAUACUCCA
rnacentral:lncRNA from 1 species